rnacentral:misc_RNA from 1 species
GGGAACAAAAGGUUCUUAAGGGAAGCUGGAAAUUAUAUACAGAAGAUUAAAAUAAUGCGAAGAGUUGCUGUAUCAAAAAAGGGAAAAAUUUGGAUAAGUUAUUAGAAUAGAAAAUAGAAGGGCUGAAGAAAUUGUCUCAAGAGGCAAAACCCAAAAUCAAUCUCAAUAUCUGGAGCAGAAAUUUCAAAUUCCUGAAGAUUUGAUCCAUCAGGGUUUUGAGAAUGAUGAUAAUGGUGCAAAUGAUGAGAAUAAUCAGGGUUUUGAGAAUGGUAAUAUUUAUGAAGCUUCCCUCAUAAAUCCAAUUUCAAGAUUUGAAGCUUGGGGACAAUUCAGAAGCUGGCCAUGUAAAU